GGUAGCAUAAUCACUUGCCCAUUAAUUGUGGGCUAGAAUGAAAGGACUAACGAAAUAAAAACUGUCUCUAUAAGUGGCAUAAAAAUUAAUCUCUAACUGAAGAUUGUUAGAUACCGUUGAAGGACAAGAAGACCCUAUAGAGCUUUAUUUUAAUAAAUAACUAUAAUUUAUAUAAAUUCGGUUGGGGCGACCAGGGAAAUUAAAUAUCAUCCCUUAAUAGCAGAUAACUCAAUCACACACUUGACCCUUUACCAAAGAUCAUCAAAACAAGCUACCUUAGGGAUAACAGGCUAAUCCCACUAAAGAGUCCUUAUCAAUAAUAGGGUUUGGCAC
rnacentral:rRNA from 1 species